rnacentral:rRNA from 1 species
CCUACGGGAGGCAGCAGUAGGGAAUAUUGGGCAAUGGACGCAAGUCUGACCCAGCCAUGCCGCGUGCAGGAAGAAGGCGUUAUGCGUUGUAAACUGCUUUUAUACAGGAAGAAACGACUCUUGCGAGAGGCAUUGACGGUACUGUAUGAAUAAGCACCGGCUAACUCCGUGCCAGCAGCCGCGGUAAUACGGAGGGUGCAAGCGUUGUCCGGAUUUAUUGGGUUUAAAGGGUGCGCAGGUGGUUUAUUAAGUCAGUGGUGAAAGACGGUCGCUCAACGAUUGCAGUGCCAUUGAAACUGGUAGACUUGAGUAAAGUAGAGGUGGGCGGAAUUGAUAGUGUAGCGGUGAAAUGCAUAGAUAUUAUCAAGAACUCCAAUUGCGAAGGCAGCUCACUUGGCUUUUACUGACACUCAUGCACGAAAGUGUGGGUAUCAAACAGGAUUAGAUACCCUGGUAGUCCACACUGUAAACGAUGAUAACUAGGUGUCGGCCGAAUCUGGUCGGUGCCNCAGCGAAGACGUUAAGUUAUCCACCGUGGGAGGUACGCCGGCGACGGUAGAACGUUAAGUAGAGUUAGACGGCGUGAGACGUUGCCGACGGACGACGACGAGGGAGGUAGGG